rnacentral:rRNA from 1 species
UACGAAGGGGGCUAGCGUUGCUCGGAAUCACUGGGCGUAAAGGGUGCGUAGGCGGGUCUUUAAGUCAGGGGUGAAAUCCUGGAGCUCAACUCCAGAACUGCCUUUGAUACUGGAGAUCUUGAGUCCGGGAGAGGUGAGUGGAACUGGCGAGUGUAGAGGUGAAAUUCGUAGAUAUUCGCAAGAACACCAGUGGCGAAGGCGGCUCACUGGCCCGGAACUGACGCUGAGACGCGAAAGCGUGGGGAGCAAACAGG